AUUGAACGCUGGCGGCAGGCCUAACACAUGCAAGUCGAGCGGAGCGGCGGACGGGUGAGUAAUGCCUAGGAAUCUACCUGGUAGUGGGGGAUAAAGUCCGGAAACGGGCGCUAAUACCGCAUAAUAUAAGAUGAGCCUAGGUUGGAUUAGAUAGUUGGUGGGGUAAAGGCCUACCAAGGCGACGAUCCGUAAGUGGUCUGAGAGGAUGAUCAGUCACCCUGGAACUUAGACACGGUCCAGACUCCUACGGGAGGCAGCAGUGGGGAAUAUUGGACAACGGGCGAAAGCCUGAUCCAGCCAUGCCGCGUGUGUGAAGAAGGUCUUCGGAUUGUAAAGCACUUUAAGUUGGGAGGCGUUACCAACAGAAUAAGCACCGGCUAACUUCGUGCCAGCAGCCGCGGUAAUUC
rnacentral:rRNA from 1 species